UUCUGUUCUUCACCUUCUUCUUAUCUCUUCUUUCCCCGUUGCAUGUGCCGGAUUUUUCGGUUCUUGUUUCCAUAAUUCACCUCCUGGAACAAACACUCUCUUGUAAGUAAAUCUCUUACCUUUUUGUUCUUUCUGUUCCUCUCUCUCUACUAAACAAAAAACAAAAAUCUUUCUGGGUUUUCUAGUUUUACUCUAAAAGUUAAUUUUUUUUACUAUUUAUCAGAAGCCUUAUGUGUGAUUUUUCUGAUAAAUGUUUUUCCAUUUUUAUUCUCUCAACUUUAUGUUCAUGAAAAAAAGUUUACAUUUUUUUGUUUAAUUAUCUUCUAGUUUUUUCAAUCUAUGAAAAGAUUCAUUCCUUUUACUUUCAUUUAAUAUGGAUCUUAAUUAUAUUUGAAUUUAUGUAAAAAAAAUUGAUUUUUCUUUGUUAUAGAUUGGAUUUGAUGGGAGAAGCAGGUGAAUUACGAAGUUGGGAUGAAUUGAUUCCUGAUGCAUUAGGGGUGAUCUUUACAAAUCUUUCUCUGAAAGAGAGAGUGACAGUGAUUCCAAGGGUAUGUAAAUCAUGGUGUAAAGCAGUGUCUGGACCUAAUUGUUGGCAAGAGAUAGAUAUUGAAGAAUGGAGCAACUAUUGCCAACCUGAUAAACUUGAUCAGAUGCUUCAUAUGCUUAUAAGUAAAAGCUGUGGAUCUCUCAGAAAGUUGUGUGUUUCUGGUCUUCAAACUGAGACCAUUUUCACUUUCAUUGCUGAAAAGUAAGCAUAAUUAACUCCGUAGUCUUACUUUAUUUUAGAGAAUGAAAUUGAUGUAUGAAUGCUUGCAUAGUUAAUGUUAUUGUUAUGCUAAUUGUUAAAAUGUUUAACAAAAGGAUAUUUAUUUGAGCAGUGUUCCACAAAUCGAGUGUUAAAAUGCUGACUGUUCAUAUUAAGGUUAAUUACAUAGUUAGUCUUGAUUCAGUUAAGGUGAUACUACUAUGGAAUUAAAUAUAAACAGAAAAGUACAUGUAUCUGGUCCAAUAAUGGAUCAAAUUUGUGUACUUUUUUUGUUUAUAUUUAAGUCCAAAGAGAACAUCACUUGGACUAGAAGGAAAUUAAAUUGAUAAACAAGAGAAAAAGUUGAAUUAGCGACAGAUAAUUAUAGUCGAAAAAACAUGAAAUUCAGCUUUAAUUUUGUUGCUGAGUGUUAAAGAUGCAAAAAUUGGUGAUUGAUUUCAUUUUCCUUUCUUACUGUUAUUGUACUAAAGUUAAAUGAAAUCUUAUUAUCUUUUUAUACUCUUUUGUACUAAAGUUAAAUGAAAUCUUAUUAUCUUUUUAUACUCUUUUGCAAGUGCUGGUUCCCUUCGGAGUUUGAGACUACCAAGGAGCAAUAUGAGCGAUUUGGUUGUGGAACAAAUUGCUGGAAAAUUUUCUGUGAUAACUUUCUUGGAUGUGAGCUAUUGUAUCAAAAUUGGUGCAUGUGCAAUUGAGAUGAUAGGCAAGAACUGCAAACUGCUAGAAGGGUUGUGUAGGAAUAUGCAUCCAUUGGAUACCGCCGGCAAGCCAUUACAAGAUGAUGAAGCAUAUGCAAUUGCAACCACAAUGCCUAAGCUCAAGCAUCUUGAAAUGGCUUAUCAUAGGAUCAGCACUUCCGGGGUAGUUCAAAUACUUUCAAACUGUCCAAAGCUUGAAUUUUUGGAUCUGAGAGGUUGUUGGGGUGUCAACCUAGACGAGAACAAGUCCGCGAAGCAGAGUUUUCCAAAACUUAAAGUUUUGGGGCCUUUUGUUCUUGGUGCUUAUGAGAGUGAUGGUUGGGAAGAUGAUGACUACUCAGAUGUAUCAGAUGAGUAUUUAGCUUGGGAUUUUGUAGCUGGUAAUGAAUACUAUGUUGAUGAUGAUAGUGAUGGUUAUGAAGGAAGGAUAGAUGAUGAGCUUGAGUUUGGAUUAUAUGAAGGGAUAGAAGAUGCUGGAAUGUAUUGGCCUCCAUCACCAUAAUUUGAUUGUAUCAUCAAUUACAUUUGCUAUUAAUUACUAUUGUAUGGAUUUUCUAGUAUGUGUGACUAAUGCUUCAACUUGAAUUUUAUGUAUCAAUUAAUCAAUGAUGUGUAUUUUUCUUGAAGAUUAAGAAAUUUAGCUUGUUCUUUCUAUCAUAGUAAUAUUGUUUCAUCUCCAAUGAGUUUGUUAAAUAACGUGCUUGAUUAUUAAGCAACAGCCACCAAGACUUGAGUGUGUGUGAUUGUGAUUAUCUUGACAUUCCUAAGAGCUAUGUCACUUGUGAACUCAAUUCAUUGUUGCUUAAGUGGGGUCUAAUAGUGCCACAUAUAAAGCAACUCAUUUAAUUGAGUGAAGUGAAAACCUACUUUAGUACUUGAGAGAAACUUUCAGAUCCAUUGUGGUUCUUGGGAAAAAUAAAACCAACUUUCAAUUUCUAAAAAAACAAACUGAAAUAAUUUAGUCCCUAAUUGUACCACAGUUAAAAAAUUGCUUUUUUGUUUGUUUGUUUGUUGUGACAAUUUCAAAAUGGACGAUUAGAUGAUGACAAUGAUUAAAAAGAAAGACAUAACUAUUGUUAUUGUUAGACUGAACAACUUCACUCAAGUUUGAACUUAAAACCUCACAAUUGUGUGCGAAUUUCAAAUAAUGUUUGUCGUUUAAUCAACAAAAAGAAAGAGACAUUUUAACCCUUAUAUAUAAUUAAAAAGUGACAUAGGGAUUUUUUUUUCUUUAUAAGGAUUAAUCCAUCCCUUUUUAAUUAUUGUCAAAAACCAAAUUGUCUCUUUUUAAUUAUUGUCACAAAUAUAAUUUUUUUAUUUUAUAUAUAAGAAAAUUCACCUCUUAAGAUAAAUAAGUGGAGAAUCCAUGAUUCAAACCUCACCUCAUACAUAUAUAAUGUAAUAUUUCUAUCAACUGAAGUAAAUUUACGGAAGUCGAAACUUCAAUCUCUUUACAGCACCUAAAAAAUGAUCCCACAAUUUAGUUUAUAUAUUUCACAAUCGCUCUCACAUACUUAUAUUAGACUUGUGUUCUCCAAUGGAACACCCUAAUGGUGUAGAGUUAAAAAAAAAAAAAAAAAAAAAAAAAAAGAAGUUAUUAGACUUGUGAGCCAUUGAUCAACUUGUCGUUGGAUAUGCACUAAUUUAGGUUGAAGUGUUGGAUGGAGAUGAUCUUAUUUACCUAACCUUAGAUUUGUUUAGCUUGUAGCACUUCUCAAAACUUUGAUGAGAAAACAACUAAUUGAAAAAGUGGAAAAAGAGCACUUUAAUUGAAAAAGAGCAAGAUCCGAUCCUGGUUUCACAUUUAGAGUCUUACUUUAUGUAAUUAGAAGAUUGUUAGGUAAGAAACUUGAAUUUUGGCUUACAAAAAUGUUAAAUUGUACGUAGUAGAAAAUAUUUAUUUGAUUGAAUCGUAGAGUUAGGAUCUUGACUCGUCUAAGUGGGUACAUUUUGAAAUUUUCUUUGUUGAACAAUAAAUUUAUUACCGAAAGUGCAAGCAAGCAAUAAUUAAUGGUGAGUUGACAUGAUAUCUAAGUGUUGGUCGGGUAAAUACUAGAUAAAUCGAUUGGAUUUGAAUCUACAAGAAAAUUGUUGGGAUUGAUAUGGAAAAUGGAAAAUAAGUGUGUUGAUCCGCGGAAAAAUAAAAAGGUCGUCUGACAUGACAAAUUUUCUUGCGUUAUGUUUGAUCGUAAGAAGAGUAAACAGUUACUUCGGUCCUACACUUAUCUAUCACAAACGUCUCUGAUUCAGAAUUAAAUAUAAAGUGGUACGUGAAUGAGCAGUUUUGUGUUAUUGGUUUAGUCUAUGACGUUAGAAAUUUCUGUUAACUUGUGAGGUGACGUGAAUGAGGGUGUUACAAGAAUUAAAAUGAAAGUAGAAAAUGGUCACUUUGGUCCCUGAACCAAAAAUCAAUAUCCCCAGAUUGAAUUUCAAAUCCUUAAGUCUCUAAAUCUCAUCUAAUUCUCUCUUUGUUCAAAAUCAUUUUUUUUGCCGGUGUUAACAAAAAAAAAAAUUGAUUUUGAACAAAAGAGGGAAUUAAAUGAGAUUUAGAGAUUUGAGAAUUAAAUUCAAAAUUUAGGGAUUUAAGAUUCAAUUUAGGGAUAUUAAUUUUCGGUUUAGAGACCAAAUUAACCAUUUUUUACAACUCUCUCAUACUAUGAUGAUGUUAUUCUCUCUUUUCAUUUUUCUCUCAAUUGAUUUUGAUAUGCGAAGGUUUAUGAUUAUAACAUUUAUAUAUAUAUAUAUAUAUAUAUAUAUAUAUAUAUAUAUAUAUAUAUAUAUAUAUNAUAAUAGGAGUUUGUUAUGAUACACCCACUAGUUUUUAUUAAGGUGUGUUUUAGCAAAGAUAUAACUAAAAAGUUGUUAAAUACAUCUUAAGGUGAAUGUUGCUAAAACACACCUUCUAAAAAAAUAAGUGGGUGUAUGUUAGCAACUCCUAUAGACAUUUGCUAGGAUACACUCACUUAUUUUUUAGAAGGUGUGUUUUAGCAAGUUAUAACUAAUUAAAAAGUAGUUAAAUACACCUUAAGGUGUAGCUUGCUAAAACACUCCUACAUAAAAACUAGUGCGUGUGUUCUAGCAAAUCUCAUCUUAUAUAUAUAUAUAUAUAUAUAUAUAUAUAUAUAUAUAUAUAUAUAUAUAUAUAUAUUGAGAGUAUCUUACCAACAUAAAUAGAAAUUAAAGAAUUUAUCAAAGCCAUCUAAAAUCUUCUUCCCAAAACGUAAAACCAUUCAUCCUUUUUUUUUUCUUUCUGAAACUCCUCCUUCCCCUCCUCUCUUUUAGGUUACUGGGUCACCUCAAUAGCAUACCGAUACCCUACAAAACGAAUAUAGCAUCGGAGUGUUAAAAAAAAUACCAUUGGAAAUUAAAAUAAUCACAUAAACACACUGAAGAACUCCUAGAGCGAAUCGAAUCACAUAUUAAUGCAAGAAGACGGGGAAUAUAUGUAUGAUUCGUGCAUUUUUAAUGUUGCGUUAUGUCUCUAGGAAUGUCUUGGAUCGAUGGAUCGUUCAUAGUAUUCUCCCUAGAACAUUAAGUAUUAAUUUGUUAGUGCAAUUCUUAAUACCAUCUUUAGUAUUCUCCCUAGAAU
rnacentral:lncRNA from 1 species